CGUGUAGGCGGGCUUUCAAGUCGGAUGUGAAAACCGGAGGCUUAACCAUCGGCUUGCAUUCGAUACUGUUGGUCUUGAGUACGAGAGAGGAAAGCGGAAUUCCAGGUGUAGCGGUGAAAUGCGUAGAUAUCUGGAAGAACACCAGUAGCGAAGGCGGCUUUCUGGCUCGAUACUGACGCUAAAGCGCGAAGGCUAGGGGAGCAAACA
rnacentral:rRNA from 1 species